rnacentral:rRNA from 1 species
CCUACGGGAGGCAGCAGUGGGGAAUAUUGGACAAUGGGCGAAAGCCUGAUCCAGCAAUGCCGCGUGUGUGAAGAAGGCCUGCGGGUUGUAAAGCACUUUCAGCAGGGAAGAACAGCAUGGGGCUAAUACCUCCAUGUCCUGACGUCACCUGAAGAAGAAGCACCGGCUAACUCCGUGCCAGCAGCCGCGGUAAU